rnacentral:rRNA from 1 species
UACGGGGGGGGCAAGCGUUGUUCGGAAUUACUGGGCGUAAAGGGCUCGUAGGCGGCCAACUAAGUCAGACGUGAAAUCCCUCGGCUUAACCGGGGAACUGCGUCUGAUACUGGAUGGCUUGAAUCCGGGAGAGGGAUGUGGAAUUCCAGGUGUAGCGGUGAAAUGCGUAGAUAUCUGGAGGAACACCGGUGGCGAAGGCGACAUCCUGGACCGGUAUUGACGCUGAGGCGCGAAAGCCAGGGGAGCAAACGGG